GUCGGGAGUCUUGCACAAUGGGGGAAACCCUGAUGCAGCGACGUCGCGUGUGGGAUGAAGUAUUUCGGUAUGUAAACCACUUUUGCGGGGGGCGAAAAAAAUGACGGUACCCCGCGAAUAAGCCCCGGCUAACUACGUGCCAGCAGCCGCGGUAAUACGUAGGGGGCGAGCGUUGCUCGGAUUGACUGGGCGUAAAGCGCGCGUAGGCGGUCCAUUAAGUGUGCGGGGAAAUUCGGAGGCUCAACCUCCGUCCCGCCGCGCAAACUGAUGGUCUUGAGAUUGGGAGGGGGAUGCGGAAUUCCUGGUGUAGCGGUGAAAUGCAUUGAUAUCAGGAGGAACACCGGCGGCGAAAGCGGCAUCCUGGCUUAUAUCUGACGCUGAGGCGCGAAAGCGUGGGUAGCAAACGGGAUUAGAAACCCCGGUAGUCC
rnacentral:rRNA from 1 species